rnacentral:rRNA from 1 species
GAUGGCGGCCAUAGUCCUGAGGGUCUACCUGAACUCGGCCGAACUCAGAAGUCAAGCCUCAGAACGUCGUGUGGAAAUGUGCAUUGCGCGAGCGUGCGACAAGCCCACGAGCUGCCACAU